AUUGAACGCUGGCGGCAGGCCUAACACAUGCAAGUCGACCGAGCGGCGGACGGGUGAGUAAUGUCUGGGAAACUGCCUGAUGGAGGGGGAUAACUACUGGAAACGGUAGCUAAUACCGCAUACCAUCAGAUGUGCCCAGAUGGGAUUAGCUAGUAGGUGGGGUAACGGCUCACUGGGGCGACGAUCCCUAGUUGGUCUGAGAGGAUGACCAGCCACACGGGAACGGAGAACGGGGCCAGACUCCUACGGGAGGCGGCAGUGGGGAAUAUUGGACAAUGAGCACGGGCCUAAUGCAGCCAUGCCGCGUGUGGGAAGAAGGCCUUCGGGUUGUAAAGCACUUUCAGCGGGGAGGCGUUACCCGCAGAAGAAGCACCGGCUAACUCCGUGCCAGCAGCCGCGGUAAUUC
rnacentral:rRNA from 1 species